rnacentral:misc_RNA from 1 species
CAUCAGAUUUGAGAAGAGGAAAGUGUAUAUCAUUAAAUUAUAUAUAAGGCCUUAUUUCCAUCCUGAUAUAUCUAUUUUUCCUUACAGGAAGCCUUACUGCAGCAGCUACGACUACAGCCAAUGUCAUUGCCAACAUGGACAAAUUAUUUGACUGCUUAAACAGUGAAUCAUCAGAUUUGAGAAGAGGAAAGUGUAUAUCAUUAAAUUAUAUAUAAGGCCUUAUUUCCAUCCUGAUAUAUCUAUUUUUCCUUACAGGAAGCCUUACUGCAGCAGCUCCGACUACAGCCAAUGUCAUUGCCAACAUGGACAAAUUAUUUGACUGCUUAAACAGUGAAUCAUCAGAUUUGAGAAGAGGAAAGUGUCAUGCUACCAAUUUAACUGCAAUAAGCCCCCAUUAACUUUUUAAAGACAAAAAAAAAUGUACUUUAAAAUUUAUUGGUAGCCAACGAAAACGUCCAUAUUCCUAAAGCACAAUAUUAAGAGUCUGGCUGACAAGGAGGCUCCAACAGGAUGCACUCGAAAACCGUUUUGGAUGCAUUCGUGGGAACUUAAGGGCUUAAAACUACUAUUUUAACUAAUUUGUCCCACAUGGGGACAGCUGGG